AAAGCGAAUAGUGAAACCUGGUGGCUCAACCAUACAGACUAUUAUUCGAACUCAUUAACUCGAGAGUAGCAGAGGUAACUGGAAUUUCUUGUGUAGGAGUGAAAUCCGUAGAUAUAAGAAGGAACACCAAUGGCGUAGGCAGGUUACUGGGCUAUUUCUGACACUGAGGCACGAAAGCGUGGGGAGCGAACCGGAUUAGAUACCCGGGUAGUCCACGCCGUAAACGAUGGAUACUA
rnacentral:rRNA from 1 species